rnacentral:siRNA from 1 species
AAAGCCACCGUCACUGUUCCGAC